rnacentral:rRNA from 1 species
CAAUAGCGUAUAUUAAAGUUGUUGCAGUUAAAAAGCUCGUAGUUGGAUUCCUGGUGGGAGCGAUCGGUCUGGCGCUUAGCGCGAGUACUUGCAUCGUCUCCGGCCAUCCUUGGGGAGAGUCUGUCUGGCAUUAAGUUGUCGGGCAGAGGAUCCUCAUCGUUUACUGUGAAAAAAUUAGAGUGUUCAAAGCAGGCUUAUGCCGUUGAAUAUAUUAGCAUGGAAUAAUAAGAUAGGACUUUGGUACUAUUUUGUUGGUUUGCGCACCAAAGUAAUGAUUAAUAGGGACAGUUGGGGGUGUUCGUAUUCCGUUGUCAGAGGUGAAAUUCUUGGAUUUACGGAAGACGAACUACUGCGAAAGUAUUUACCAAGGAUGUUUUCAUUAA